ACGGCUGCCAGCUGUCUAAGCUUAGCUGUGCUGUGCUGUGACAUUUACAAGAAGUCAAGAGAUUUUUCAGGGAGCGAGGACGUGUUUUGAAAACUGUUUUCUUUCUUGCAGUACAAUGGUGAUUUAGAGCUACCCAGCCCUUCUGCUUUCCCACCACCAAUGGUUAUUAUGCAGAGAUGGGGAAUCUUCACCACCACCAAUGGUAGCUCCGGCUCCUGGUUAUUAUGCAGAGAUGGGGAAUCUUCACCACCACCAAUGGUAGCUCCGGCUCCUGAUUAUUAUGCAGAGAUGGGGAAUCUUCACCACCACCAAUGAGAUAGAGAAUCAUCACCACCACCAAUGGUAGCUCCGGCUCCUGGUUAUUAUGCAGAGAUGGGGAAUCUUCACUACCAAUGGUAGCUCUGGCUCCUGGUUAUUAUGCAGAGAUGGGGAAUCUUCACCACCACCAAUGGUAGCUCUGGCUCCUGGUUAUUAUGCAAAGAUGGGGAAUCUUCACUACCAAUGGUAGCUCUGGCUCCUGGUUAUUAUGCAGAGAUGGAAAAUCUUCACCACCACCAAUGGUAGCUCCGGCUCCUGGUCAUUAUGCAGAGAUGGAAAAUCUUCACCACCACCAAUGGUAGCUCCGGCUCCUGGUUAUUAUGCAGAGAUGGGAAUCUUCACUACCAAUGGUAACUCUGGCUCCUGGUUAUUAUGCAAAGAUGGGAAUCUUCACUACCAAUGGUAGCUCUGGCUCCUGGUUAUUAUGCAGAGAUGGGGGAAUCUUCACCACCACCAAUGGUAACUCGGGCUCCUGGUUAUUAUACAGUGACGGAGAAUAUUCACCACCACCACCAAUGGUAGCUCUGGCUCCUGGUUAUUAUGCAGAAAUGGGAAUCUACGCUACCACCAACGUUAGCUCCGGCUCCUGGUUUUUAUGCAGAGAUGGAGAAUCUCCAGAAGUAGAGAGAUGAUGCUAUAGAAGAGGCAGAGAAACUGCAGGUUUGAUAGAUACGGGUCUAGGAUGAGCUGGUAGCUAUCAACAAUCAACCAUUAAUAGGUAUGACCUUGAAAGAAACCCAGGCUGUUCCAAGAAUCAGUAUAAACAGGCACAGACUGCUAUCCAUGAGAGCAAAGUCCUGAAAUCAAGGGUUCAUCUGGAAAUCAUCAGAAGUCACCCAACAUGAAGCAAGCAAUAUGGACUAGAUCAGGAGGAAGUCAUUGUCAUGCUGGAGGAAUUCCAUGACAUUUGCUCCAGCGACAAUUGCUCUGAUGUAAAUUCCACACAUUAAACAAUUGACUAACUUCAACCCUGGGUUUAACACUAUAUCCCACCCUAAACCUAACAUAAGACCCUAUUGCAACCCUAACCCUACAUCUUACACAAAUUGAAGUCCGGAGCAAUUGUCGCAGGAGCAAAUGUCUUGUCACCGCUGGAUGAUGGACUCGACAAGCUCAUGCCAAAGGUCAAGAAAAUUAUCAGAAAUAUGCUGCAAGAUCCAGUGCUUCACCUCAUGGCUGAGAGGAGGCUUACACAGCUGAUCGAUGACAGUGCUACUUAAAUCAUGUCACUCGGUGUACAACAUGGAUGCACCCCCUAUCUGGGAAAGUCUACCAGAGCUAAAGAUGUGACACCAAUCUUGACAUCUUCAUCUGCACUGAAUGUUUGGUGUGAUCAUUUGUUGGUAGAUACAUGGACAUGAUGUAUAACCCACCGGUAUAUAAAGACCGCCUGCUCAGAAAGACCAAUUGUUAUAUCCUUUGAAAUAUACAACAAAA